GACGAACGCUGGCGGCGUGCUUAACACAUGCCGGUCGAACGGAAAGGCCCUGCUUUUGUGGGGUGCUCGAGUGGCGAACGGGUGAGUAACACGUGAGUAACCUGCCCUUGACUUUGGGAUAACUUCAGGAAACUGGGGCUAAUACCGGAUAGGAGCUCCUGCUGCAUGGUGGGGGUUGGAAAGUUUCGGCGGUUGGGGAUGGACUCGCGGCUUAUCAGCUUGUUGGUGGGGUAGUGGCUUACCAAGGCUUUGACGGGUAGCCGGCCUGAGAGGGUGACCGGCCACAUUGGGACUGAGAUACGGCCCAGACGCCUACGGGAGGCAGCAGUGGGGAAUAUUGCACAAUGGGCGGAAGCCUGAUGCAGCAACGCCGCGUGCGGGAUGACGGCCUUCGGGUUGUAAACCGCUUUCGCCUGUGACGAAGCGUGAGUGACGGUAAUGGGUAAAGAAGCACCGGCUAACUACGUG
rnacentral:rRNA from 1 species